rnacentral:rRNA from 1 species
GUCCUUGCCGUAAACGAUGUAUACUUGAUGUAGCUGGGCUCAACCCUAGCUGUGUCGGAGCUAACGCGUUAAGUAUACCGCCUGAGGAGUACGCUCGCAAGGGUGAAACUCAAAAGAAUUGACGGGGGCCCGCACAAGCAGUGGAGCAUGUGGUUUAAUUCGAUGCUACGCGAAGAACCUUACCCAGGUUUGAAAUGCAGGGGACCGCACCAGAAAUGGUGCUUUCCGCAAGGACCGCUGCACAGGUGCUGCAUGGCUGUCGU